GAUGAACGCUGGCGGCGUGCCUAAUACAUGCAAGUCGAGCGAAUGGAUUGAGAGCUUGCUCUUAUGAAGUUAGCGGCGGACGGGUGAGUAACACGUGGGUAACCUGCCCAUAAGACUGGGAUAACUCCGGGAAACCGGGGCUAAUCCCGGAUAACAUUUUGAACCGCAUGGUUCGAAAUUGAAAGGCGGCUUCGGCUGUCACUUAUUGAUGGACCCGCGUCGCAUUAGCCAGUUGGUGAGGUAACGGCUCCACCAGGCAACGAUGCGUAGCCGACCUGGGAGGGUGAUCGGCCACACUGGGACUGAGACACGGCCCAGACUCCUACGGGAGGCAGCAGUAGGGGAUCUUCCGCAAUGGACGAAAGUCUGACGGAGCAACGCCGCGUGAGUGAUGAAGGCUUUCGGGUCGUAAAACUCUGUUGUUAGGGAAGAACAAGUGCUAGUUGAAUAAGCUGGCACCUUGACGGUACCUAACCAGAAAGCCACGGCUAACUACGUGCCAGCAGCCGCCGUAA
rnacentral:rRNA from 1 species